AUUGAACGCUGGCGGCAGGCCUAACACAUGCAAGUCGAGCGGAGCGGCGGACGGGUGAGUAAUGCCUAGGAAUCUGCCUGGUAGUGGGGGAUAACGUCCGGAAACGGGCGCUAAUACCGCAUCCUAUCCGAUGCGCCUAGGUCGGAUUAGCUAGUUGGUGGUGGAAAGGCAUACCAAGGCCACCAUCCGCAACUGGUCUGAGAGGAGGAUCAGUCAAACUGGAACUGAGACACGGUCCAGACUCCUACGGGAGGCAGCAGUGGGGAAUAUUGGACAAUGGGCGAAAGCCUGAUCCAGCCAUGCCGCGUGUGUGAAGAAGGUCUUCGGAUUGUAAAGCACUUUAAGUUGGGAGGCGUUACCAACAGAAUAAGCACCGGCUAACUUCGUGCCAGCAGCCGCGGUAAUUC
rnacentral:rRNA from 1 species